AACGCACCUUGCGCUCCUUGGUAUUCCGAGGAGCAUGCCUGUUUGAGUGUCAUUAAAUUCUCAACUAUACAAGUUUUUUUAUAAACAUGUAUAGCUUGGAUCUUGGGAUUUGCGGGCUUUCACAAGUCGGCUAUCCUUAAAUGCAUUAGCAGAGCUUUUGCCGCUAAACUCUAGUGUGAUAAUUAUCUACGCUAUUGUGAGGCAGCAUGAAUAGAGCUAUGCUUCUAAUCGUCUUCACAGACAAUACUUGACAAUCUGACCUCAAAUCAGGUAGGAUUACCCGCUGAACUUAA
rnacentral:misc_RNA from 1 species